AUGCAUAAUUGUUACCAAACAAGCAUUCUCCAGACAGAGAGCAGCUCCGUGCAGAUCACAGAGCAACUUGAACUCCAGUCUAAAUACUUUGAGUAUUAUUCUGUUGGCAAAGAGGACGUGUUUGAAAGGCUUUGCUGGCAGCGGUGUGGAAUACAGACCGGGCCAAGGACGGGAAGAAGAGAACACCCAGGAGCUCUUGCAGGAACACAGGCAGAGUUGCGUGAGGCAGAAUUUGAGCAGAGGCUGAGUAUCUGCGGUGGGGAGGACACAAAGAUAAUUAAUGUGUGUUAUUAUCUCCAGGGUCUAGAUGGCCCCGGGCUCGCAUUCAGUAUAGAGAUUGUCAGGAGUUGGAGUCUGGCAAGUGUGUUAGGAGUUCUGUGCUUAUGUGCCCAGAGGCAGAUGGAAGAGGGGUACCCUUUCUCAAUGCUUGGACAGAAUAGAUACAGGGAAACAAGUGAAUGUCUGUUAUUUCCUUGUAAUGCAAACAGAAUCCCUAAAGUACACACAGGAGUAUUCUUUUCCCUCCAUAUUUUGGACAGAAUUUCACAAUUGUGA
rnacentral:lncRNA from 7 species